UACGUAGGGUGCAAGCGUUGUCCGGAAUUAUUGGGCGUAAAGAGCUCGUAGGCGGUCCGUCGCGUCGACCGUGAAAACCCGCAGCUCAACUGCGGGCUUGCGGUCGAUACGGGCAGGCUGGAGUUCGGUAGGGGAGACUGGAAUUCCUGGUGUAGCGGUGAAAUGCGCAGAUAUCAGGAGGAACACCGGUGGCGAAGGCGGGUCUCUGGGCAGUAACUGACGCUGGAGGAGCGAAAGCGUGGGGAGCGAACAGG
rnacentral:rRNA from 1 species